GUUGUCGACUCACCUGUGCUUUCUCCAUCCAGAUGGAGCCACCUGAGGGCGAUGGGGUGAAACGUGACUCUGCGCAAACUGCUGGUAAGCACGGGGAAAAGGGGCGUGAAGACGGAGCAAAGAGCCUUGUAGCCGCUCAUGGGGAUCAAAUAGGAAAUGAAAACUCCACGUGGUCCAGCAGCCAGUUUCCAGGCCGGUGAAAUCGCGUCCACGUUCACAUGCGUGCGUGAUAUCCAUAUAUACACCUCACACGUACAAACGGAGCUAGUGGAGCGGGCGCUAAUCACAAGAGGCACAGCAUGUUAAACCAAGUGAUGCAAUCCCGCAGUGACACGUUCCUCAUUAUGUGUCGCACUGCGGUCUUUCACCUGAUGUGAUGAUCUCAUAAUGCUUACUUACCCCACACGUGCUACAUUUUCCUUUCCUGUCAAACAUGAUUAUGCGGCAAAAAUCUGAACCUUUCCGCUAUGCAACUGUUCACUUGUUCCUAAGCAAUGACCAAGCGGAAUGGAAAGAAAUAGAUAUGGAGCACUGCAGAAUGCGAAGAUUGUUUCGUGUUGUAUUUAUUGAGAAUACAUAGCCGAUGACCCAAAAAGUACGAGCAGCACCAACCAAGCCGAGCUUUGUGACAAAGUGUGUUUUGUCCUCUAAACUCUCCUAUAAAAAAAGUGUGUGAUCAAAGCCAGGGUUUGUACUCUAAUCUGGUUCUCCCAGACCUCAGACCCUCCUGGCUAGUGUGACUCCCUUUUGCCAGCACCAGAAUGGAGUCCAGAGGAAGCAAGCCAAAAGAGGUCACGAGAAGUCGGGGACAUUACUAAAAUAAACUGCAGGCUCUGCAAAUAGAGAGUUCAAUUCAUAGGCAGGGUCACGGGCUGUACUGUACGCGCCGAGCAAGAUUUUGAGUUCUAUCACAACGCGUCAGGGCGGACAUGAUGUGAAGCGGAAAGACUCGCUCAAAGACCCAUUUUCGGAAAUAGGUGGAUAACGAAUUACUCGCACUCCAGAGACCAAAUUAUUUGUAUGCACAGAAUU